UACGUAGGUGGCAAGCGUUAUCCGGAUUUAUUGGGCGUAAAGGGAACGCAGGCGGUCUUUUAAGUCUGAUGUGAAAGCCUUCGGCUUAACCGGAGUAGUGCAUUGGAAACUGGGAGACUUGAGUGCAGAAGAGGAGAGUGGGACUCCAUGUGUAGCGGUGAAAUGCGUAGAUAUAUGGAAGAACACAAGUGGCGAAAGCGGCUCUCUGGUCUGUAACUGACGCUGAGGUUCGAAAGCGUGGGUAGCAAACAGG
rnacentral:rRNA from 1 species